rnacentral:sRNA from 1 species
GCCCAGGCGCUUCCGCGACCACCCGGAGUGAUUGCCCGGCAGAGCGCGGUAAAGAAUCUCAUUUGGACACAUUGAGUCGGGCACAACUGACCCAACUUUUCUUAGCCUCAGUCCUGGAAUGCCCUUUCUAUAAGGGUCCAAAACUCCUUCCUAAAUAUCAAGUGAAGUCAUUUCUUACCCCAUGCUGUUCCCUGGAGACCCCUGUGGAUUCUCAGCUUUAUAGAUAUGUGAAGAUUGGGCUGACUAACCUUUUAGGAGCAAGAUUAUAUUUUGCUCCAAAAGUGUUGACACCCUAUUGUUAUACAAUAGCCUUCAGUCCAGUUGAUCAAUGCAAUGUGGAAGGAAUCAAAGCAAAGCAAAGGAAAUGAAUACAGGAAGAUAGUGUUUGUGAGGGUAUCACACGAGGAAUUUUUCCUUUCUUCUCUCACCAGAUGUUGAAAUUAAAUUAGAUGAAGAAGGAUUUGUAUUGCCAUCCACAGCUAAUGAAGAUAUCCAUAAAAGGAUAGCACUGUGUAUUGAUGGUCCAAAAAGGUUUUGCUCCAAUAGCAAACACUUACUGGGGAAAGAAGCUAUUAAACAAAGACACCUACAGUUACUCGGUUAUCAAGUUGUUCAGAUCCCCUAUCAUGAGAUUGGGAUGCUAAAAUCAAGACGUGAAUUGGUGGAAUAUUUACAAAGAAAACUGUUUUCUCAAAACACUGUUCAUUGGUUGCAAGAAUGAAUACUGACUUCAGAACUCAAACAAUGGAAGAACUUGCAUUUUUAUGGAACUCAGUAUUAAAAGAAAAAUAUAAUGUGAAUUAGCCACUUUGCAGAAUAU